CCGGCGGUCAGCUGCUGUUAUUGUUCAUUGUUAAGCAGCCGCGCAGUGACGAAGGCGACGAGCACACGAGAGCAAACACGAGCACAUUAGACCCACUUGGGGCAGGAAGUGACUGCAGAGGAAACGGCAGCAGGAAGUCGAGACGGACGCCGCGUUGGCGGAGACGAGUCGCUGAACGUCGUCCACGAGGCGUCACGAGACAAACGGCCACUAGAUGUCACUCUAAGACGAGAUAAAACGCCAACGCUCGGCCUGCAUCCAUCCGCCUAUGAAACACCAGCAACUUGUACAAGACUCAUCAAAUCCCACCAGCUUACACUUUCGUUUGAAAAAACAUUAUGGUGAGGAACCACCUAGCGCUCGCAGUGAGCCAGCUCUCCUCAACAGAUUGCCAUUCAAGCUAAUUAAUGCAGGAUGGACCAAACUGCUGCAGAGAUGGCGGUGAACAUCUGUAUGGGAGAGAUCUGAUGUGCCCUAUUGCUAUUGUAUCGCCGUCCCAUAUGGAAACAAUCCUCGCCGUGUGUUGGAUAGAAGGCGGGCGCUAAAGCGAGGGAUGCAUGCCGUCCACAGACUACGUUUAUCCUAAAAAAAAUAAAUGGGAAAAGCCCCACUACACUCACACACCUUUCUGUAUUGCAUAGUAGUUAAAUACUUCUCGUGUGUAUCUAUUUACAUGUAUAUAUUUGUGUAUUUUGUCAUUGCACGUCCUUGUUUUUGUUACACAGUCAAACUCACAUGCAAAUAAAUUCUG
ensembl:lncRNA